AUUUUAUCAGCCCGUUUAGCCGAAACAGAAAAAACGAGGCGCCUCAACUUGAAAAUAAACCCUUGCCUGUCCCAUUUUUCAUAAGAGCUAGUUUAUCGAUCUCGCCCCCCAUCAUCGAUCUAGGUAUUUGUGAAAGGAAGAAGUUUAUUUCUCAAUGGCACCACUUAUAAACAGGUUUCCAUUCGUAGCUACUCAUUUGAAGAGAAUGAUAGCUAAGCUGAAUGCAAAUGAUGAGAAACACACCAUAAAAUCAUGGUCACGUGCAUCUAUGAUCAUACCCGAAAUGGUGGGCCAUCGUAUUGCUAUCCAUAACGGAAAAAGACAUCGUCCUAUUCAAAUUAAAGAUGCCAUGGUAGGCCACAAAUUAGGGGAGUUUGCACUUACACGUGCACGUAAACCACAAAAGCCACAAAAUGUGAAAAAACCUUUGAAAAAGGGUAAAUGAUCAAAAGAUUGAAUCAAGAUUUAUAGUUUUUAAGCUCUUGUUAGGUUGUCUUUUGCUUGUAGUUUACCAGCGUUUUCUGGAUCAUUUUGUUAUGGAAUUUUUCAUUAAUGUCUCACAUUCACAGUUGAUUUUUGUAAUAAAGCCUACAUUUGAACA